rnacentral:rRNA from 1 species
CGCCGACACUCCUACGGGAGGCAGCAGUGGGGAAUAUUGCACAAUGGGGGAAACCCUGAUGCAGCCAUGCCGCGUGUGUGAAGAAGGCCUUCGGGUUGUAAAGCACUUUCAGUAGGGAGGAAGGUAGUGUAGUUAACACCUGCACUAUUUGACGUUACCUACAGAAGAAGCACCGGCUAACUCCGUGCCAGCAGCCGCGGUAAUACGGAGGGUGCGAGCGUUAAUCGGAAUUACUGGGCGUAAAGCGCAUGCAGGCGGCCUGUUAAGUCAGAUGUGAAAGCCCGGGGCUUAACCUCGGAAUUGCAUUUGAAACUGGCAGGCUAGAGUCUUGUAGAGGGGGUAGAAUUUCAGGUGUAGCGGUGAAAUGCGUAGAGAUCUGAAGGAAUACCAGUGGCGAAGGCGGCCCCCUGGACAAAGACUGACGCUCAGAUGCGAAAGCGUGGGGAGCAAACAGGAUUAGAUACCCUGGUAG